GACGAACGCUGGCGGCGUGCUUAACACAUGCAAGUCGAACGGUGAAGUAGAGCUUGCUCUAUGGAUCAGUGGCGAACGGGUGAGUAACACGUGGGCAACCUGCCCCAGACUCUGGGAUAACUCCUCGAAAGAGGGGCUAAUACCGGAUAUUUGCAUUGCAAGACAUCUUGUGAUGCAGAAAGAAUUUCGGUCUGGGAUGGGCCCGCGGCCUAUCAGCUUGUUGGUGAGGUAACGGCUCACCAAGGCGACGACGGGUAGCCGGCCUGAGAGGGCGACCGGCCACACUGGGACUGAGACACGGCCCAGACUCCUACGGGAGGCAGCAGUGGGGAAUAUUGGGCAAUGGGCGCAAGCCUGACCCAGCAACGCCGCGUGAGGGAUGAAGGUCCUCGGAUUGUAAACCUCUUUCAGCAGAGACGAAGCGAAAGUGACGGUACCUGCAGAAGAAGCACCGGCUAACUACGUGCCAGCAGCCGCCGUAA
rnacentral:rRNA from 1 species